CCCAGCGCUGAGGUUCCCGCGCUGAGGUCACAUCGUUGAGGUUCCUGCCUUGAGGUUCCCGCGCUGAGGUGACAUCGCUGAGGUUCCCUCGCCGAGGUUCCCGCGCCGAGGUUCUUUUUCCCCAACUCCGCCAAAAUCAAUGGUGUGCAGUCCAUAACUCUCCAUCACUCGGAAGAGGAGGCACUUAGCUGGGCCUAUCAGCCACAAAAAUGGUAAUGCAUUAAGGUUUUGUAUGCAUGACUUACUUCUCAUUUGUCUUCCCUUGCAGGCCUCCCAGCACUGAGAACAGCUGUGCACUGAGUUGCAGAGAUCAGGAAAGCUACUAUAGUUAUGACAGUACUCUUCUUUUCUCUGUUGCCAAGAGAGUGUAAGAAGUUAAGGAUGAUGCUGCAGUUUGGACAAAAAGUAACAAUUCACACCUGUUUGGGGACAAGCCCUUGACAGCAAAGGUUGUUGUCGUUGGAGGAAGUGGAACAUCCUGAUGUAGGGUGCUGACUGCUCCAGUGUCA
rnacentral:lncRNA from 1 species